AGGCUUAGUGGACUUUAUGUAAAUUACAUUAUUGAUGGGUCUUAAAUUUGAAUUUUCAUGGGGCCAAGAGUGGGAUUUUAUCUUUUAGCUUUAACUUAAGGGAAAUUACGAAAAUGCCCUUCUGUUCAAUUAAAUAAAUAAAGGGAGAAAGAAAUGAGGAGCAGAGCACGUUUUUUUUCUCUCAUUUGGGAUCAGAUUCAAGAACCAUCGAGAGAGAGAGAGAGAGAGAGAGAGUCAGAGAUCAGCUGAAUUGAGGAUCACUUCGUCGUCUCUGUCUUCUUCCUCCUCCUUCGUCGUCUUCAACGUCGCCGGUGGUGUGUGCGUUGCUGCCGUCCGCCCAGCCUGUGGUAGCUUCUUUCUCCUCUGUUUCUCGUUAUCGAGCUCUCGUCCUUUCUUCUCCAUUCUGUCCUAUCGAAGGUGGUAAGCAUGUUAAACGCUGGGCUGUUGUUGGAGAUCCGACAAAGUUGCUGCUGUUCUGGGGAUCGUGGAAGCUACCGAUCUCUUCUCCUCCUCAUUUACGUGCCAUCGUUCGAGUUCUUUUUCUGUUCAGUAUGCUAAUUCUUCUUCCUUAUUGCUCUGUUCAUCCCUUUGAGACCUUGCUUCCUUGCUUUGUCACGUUGAGUGAGGGUGAUUGUGAGACGGGUAGCUCGAUUGGAGUUUUAAGAAGUGAGUUUUGAACUUUGAAAGCACUACAGAUAGCAUAACUGACGCUGUACAUCUUGCUUACUAAUGAUGGUUGUUUGCGGAACAGAAUGAAGGGUGAUUGUGAGACGGGUAGCUCGAUUGGAGUUUUAAGAAGUGAGUUUUGAACUUUGAAAGCACUACAGAUAGCAUAACUGACGCUGUACAUCUUGCUUACUAAUGAUGGUUGUUUGCGGAACAGAAUGGAGGUUGGUUCUAUAAAUAUGUUUUAUUGAUGUAAACAUGAAAUUUAUGUAUUAUGUCAUGACAUAUAUGAUUAGAUGCUCCACAUAACUUAUAAAUUAGAGUCCUUAGUUUAUUAUACAUUUUUUCUGCUGACUGGAAAGAGCUGAGCUCCUAAUUGAUACAAUGUUUAAGGAAA